UCCCAGAUGAGCAUUGAUUGUCCGGUGUGCGGGCUUCAAACCCGCAGCUGAUGAGAGUCGGAGUGGUUCAGUUCCACAUUCUGGGCG